GACGAACGCUGGCGGCGUGCCUAACACAUGCAAGUCGAGCGAGAUCCAUCCGGUAGCAAUACCGGUGAAGAUCGAGCGGCGAACGGGUGAGUAACACGUGAGAAACCUGCCCCGAAGACUGGGAUAACCCGAGGAAACUCGGGCUAAUACCGGAUACCCCCACCAGGUCGCAUGGCCAGGUGAGGAAAGGCUCCGGCGCUUUGGGAGGGUCUCGCGACCUAUCAGCUAGUUGGUGAGGUAACGGCUCACCAAGGCAUCGACGGGUAGCUGGUCUGAGAGGACGAUCAGCCACACUGGGACUGAGACACGGCCCAGACCCCUACGGGAGGCAGCAGUGGGGAAUCUUGCGCAAUGGGCGAAAGCCUGACGCAGCAACGCCGCGUGGGGGGAUGAAGGCUCUCGGGUCGUAAACCCCUUUCAGGAGGGACGAAAAUGACGGUACCUCCAGAAGAAGCCCCGGCCAACUACGUG
rnacentral:rRNA from 1 species